UAUAUUUUAAUGUAAAGAAGCAUAAAAAUUUUUGAAGUUUUCAGGAAUAGUUUAAUUCUAUUAAAUAUAA
rnacentral:tRNA from 1 species